rnacentral:rRNA from 1 species
AUUGAACGCUGGCGGAAUGCUUUACACAUGCAAGUCGAACGGUAGAGGGGGCAACCCCUCGAGAGUGGCGAACGGGUGAGUAAUAUAUCGGAACGUGCCCAGUCGUGGGGGAUAACGUAGCGAAAGUGACGCUAAUACCGCAUACGAUCUAAGGAUGAAAGCGGGGGAUCGCAAGACCUCGCGCGAUUGGAGCGGCCGAUAUCAGAUUAGGUAGUUGGUGGGGUAAAGGCUCACCAAGCCAACUAUGUGUAGCUGGUCUGAGAGGACGACCAGCCACACUGGAACUGGGACACGGUCCAGAGUCCUACGGGAGGCAGCAGUGGGGAAUUUUGGACAAUGGACGUAAGUCUGGUCCAGCGAUUCCGCGUGCAGGAUGAAGGCCCUCGGGUUGUAAACUGCUUUUGUACGGAACGAAAAGGUCUCUCUUAAUACGGGGGACUCAUGACGGUACCGUAAGAAUAAGCACCGGCUAAGUACGUGCCAGCCGCCGCCGUAA